UACAGGGGGGGCAAGCGUUGUUCGGAAUUACUGGGCGUAAAGGGGGUGUAGGCGGCCAACUAAGUCCGACGUGAAAUCCCAAAGCUUAACUUUGGAACUGCGUCGGAUACUGGAUGGCUUGAAUUCGGGAGAGGGAUGCAGAAUUCCAGGUGUAGCGGUGAAAUGCGUAGAUAUCUGGAGGAAUACCGGUGGCGAAGGCGGCAUCCUGGACCGACAUUGACGCUGAAAACCGAAAGCUAGGGGAGCAAACGGG
rnacentral:rRNA from 1 species